GCGGCAGGUUGACUGGAGAGCGGCAGGUUGACUGGGGAGCGGCAGGUUGACUGUAGAGCGGCAGUUUGACUGGAGAGCGGCAGGUUGACUGUAGAGCGGCAGGUUGACUGGAGAGCGGCAGGUAGCCUAGGGGCGGCAGGUAGCCUAGGGGCGGCAGGUAGCCUAGGGGCGGCAGGUAGCCUAGGGGCGGCAGGUAGCCUAGGGGCGGUAGGUAGCCUAGGGGCGGUAGGUAGCCUAGGGGCGGCAGGUAGCCUAGGGGCGGCAGGUAGCCUAGGGGUGGCAGGUAGCUGAAACGUUGCCGGAUUGAAUCCCCGAGCUGACAAGGUAAAAAUCUGUCAUUCUGCCCCUGAACAAGGCAGUUAACCCACUGUUCCCCGAAUGCCGUCAUUGUAAAUAAGAAUUUGUUCCUAACUGACUUGCC
ensembl:lncRNA